CUCGUAGGCGGUUUGUCGCGUCGGGAGUGAAAUCCACUGGCUUAACUGGUGGCUUGCUUUCGAUACGGGCAGACUGGAGGUAUGCAGGGGAGAACGGAAUUCCUGGUGUAGCGGUGAAAUGCGCAGAUAUCAGGAGGAACACCGGUGGCGAAGGCGGUUCUCUGGGCAUGUCCUGACGCUGAGGAGCGAAAGUGUGGGGAGCGAACA
rnacentral:rRNA from 1 species